GACGAACGCUGGCGGCGUGCCUAAUACAUGCAAGUUGAGCGCUGAAGGUUGGUACUUGUCCCGACUGGAUGAGCAGCGAACGGGUGAGUAACGCGUGGGGAAUCUGCCUUUGAGCGGGGGACAACAUUUGGAAACGAAUGCUAAUACCGCAUAAAAACUUUAAACACAAGUUUUAAGUUUGAAAGAUGCAAUUGCAUCACUCAAAGAUGAUCCCGCGUUGUAUUAGCUAGUUGGUGAGGUAAAGGCUCACCAAGGCGAUGAUACAUAGCCGACCUGAGAGGGUGAUCGGCCACAUUGGGACUGAGACACGGCCCAAACUCCUACGGGAGGCAGCAGUAGGGAAUCUUCGGCAAUGGACGAAAGUCUGACCGAGCAACGCCGCGUGAGUGAAGAAGGUUUUCGGAUCGUAAAACUCUGUUGGUAGAGAAGAACGUUGGUGAGAGUGGAAAGCUCAUCAAGUGACGGUAACUACCCAGAAGGGGACGGCUAACUACGUG
rnacentral:rRNA from 1 species